GUGCUCGCUUUGACAGCACAUAUACUAAAAUGGAAACGAUAAAGAGAAUAUUAGCAUGGCCCCUGCAUAAGAAUGACACACAAAUUCAUGAAGCAGUACAUAUCUUU